rnacentral:rRNA from 1 species
AUUGAACGCUGGCGGCAGGCCUAACACAUGCAAGUCGAGCGGAUGAAGGGAGCUUGCCCCUGGAUUCAGCGGCGGACGGGUGAGUAAUGCCUAGGAAUCUGCCUGGUAGUGGGGGAUAACGUCCGGAAACGGGCGCUAAUACCGCAUACGUCCUGAGGGAGAAAGUGGGGGAUGUUCGGACCUCACGCUAUCAGAUGAGCCUAGGUCGGAUUAGCUAGUUGGUGGGGUAAAGGCCUACCAAGGCGACGAUCCGUAACUGGUCUGAGAGGAUGAUCAGUCACACUGGAGCUGAGACACGGUCCAGACUCCUACGAGAGGCAGCAGUGGGGAAUAUUGGACAAUGGGCGAAAGCCUGAUCCAGCCAUGCCGCGUGUGUGAAGAAGGUCUUCGGAUUGUAAAGCACUUUAAGUUGGGAGGAAGGGCAGUAAGUUAAUACCUUGCUGUUUUGACGUUACCAACAGAAUAAGCACCGGCUAACUUCGUG